UGGGGAAUUUUGGACAAUGGGGGCAACCCUGAUCCAGCAAUGCCGCGUGAGUGAAGAAGGCCUUCGGGUUGUAAAGCUCUUUUGUCAGGGAAGAAACAGCAGCUCUAACACAGUCUGCGAAUGACGGUACCUGAAGAAUAAGCACCGGCUAACUAC
rnacentral:rRNA from 1 species